UGAAAAUUUAAUAAUGAAGUGUGCUGCAAAGUGGCCAACUCAUUUUCGCCACAAUUUAUUGUCAGUUGUCGAGGUUGUUUCUUCUCUUAGCCCUUAAUAUUUAAUUUUUCCCGCUCACGGUUUCGUUAAACAAGCGGGAAAUAUCAGCCAAUCAGAGGAGACUAUGUCUACCUUCGGAGAGCAGUGGAGGGUGAGAGGGGCAACAACUGGCAACAAGCUGGCAACAAGCAACAACAACAACAACUCAAACGCAAAACAAAAACAUAACCUUCUAUUACCAUGCCCUUUUUUUGCCACUGUUUCCGUACUUUCUUAUAUUGUUCACUCGCAAUCAGUAAAGUCAUAUUGUCGGUAGACAAGCGUAAUUUAAAACUUUCAUUUCAGUUAUUUGUGCCAAAAUUCUCGCACCCUUGUUGCGGUAAGUUCCGAUUUCUCUCUGCAGACUGCUGUCAAUAAUGCAAGAUGUUGAAAGCGCUCAUUAGCAACUGCCAGCCAAAUUCUUUCACUUUGAUCGAAGAUUCUGCGGAUGUAAGUGGCAAAUUCUUACUGAAAGAAUUUAUAGAAGCCAGUAAAACUCAAUCCCAAAAAACUUUGGUGCUUUGCUUUGACAAAUCAGGUUCAUUAUUGAAAAGAGAUUUGAAUAUAGAGCUACCAACAGCAGAAUUUAUUGACUGCUGCUUCAAUUACCAAGGAUCGCUGAGCGGUCUCAACAAACCUCUUAGAUCGAUACUGGAAUCCCAUGUAUCUUUCGAUGAGAAGGUGACCAUCAUCAUAGACUCACUGACCUCACUCUAUUACAAUAAUGGUCUCCAGGAUACAUAUAGGUGCCUUCAUAGUUUACUUACAAAGCCAAUCAAGAAAGGAACUCAGUUAAUGCAGCUGGUAGCAGUUGUCCAUUCUGAUACAUUACCUGAUACCAAAAGCAUAUCAACCUUAAGUCACCUUGCCUCCACCGAAAUACUUUUGGUUCCAACCAACCUAGUCAACCGGCGACACUUAUUUAUCAAACAUGCAAAAAAAAAUGGGAAGAUAGUUAAACAGGAAGAAUAUUGUUGGUAUGACAAAAGCGGAGUGCUUCUAAGCGAAGAAAAGAAAACAGUCAGCAAAGUCGAAGAUGCUAUCGAUCCAAAUGGCCUUACAACAUUUAGACUGAGUUUAGAAGAGACGGAAAUUAGAGCACGCAGUGAACUUAGACUACCCUAUGUGAAAACAAGUGAAGAUGGUGAUACUGGCGGCAAAAUAUUUUACACUCCAGACGAUAAUGAUGACUGGGAUGAAGAAGAUCCAGAUGAUGAUCUUGACAUAUGAGAACGUUUGGAGGAUCUAAGUAUUCAUUAAACAAGGUAUCCAAAACAAAAAACGGUGGAUAACUGCUAAACCUAUCUUCGACAGUGUUUAAAACUUACUUUUGAGUUUCAGGAGCCAUGUGGCACAUCUAACUUGAUUUUUAGGGCCAAAUUCACUUUGUGCUUAUAAAUCACAGCGCUUGUAGUGAAAAGUUGGACGCAAGAUGGUUUAGUUGCAGAGCUAGUAGCUGUAAUUUGGGGGAAAUUUCGAAAAAUCACCAAAAAGAAAAAUUAGGAUUUUGUUUGGGGAGGGGGGGGGGUAAUAUUUUAGGGGCCACGUUGGUGCAGAGCCUUCAUUUUUUAGGUGCCAUGACCAAUUAUUUAGGCGCAUUUGGCGCCUGUGAGUUUCGGACACUGAUCUUUGAUGGCUAAAGUAAAAGAAUGCCCAUCUCUGAUCGUGACAUUGCAAAUCUCUGCUUAUGAUUAAAUUUCUUUUCCCCUCUUAAAAUACUCAGCAAGUUAUUUCCACCCAUUCCAAAGUAUUCAUAAGAACUUCAAUGCAAGUUUUCUCUGAAAAAAGUAAAACAUGACUGGAGUUCCUUAAACAUUGCUGUUAAAAUCUGAAUUUUCCGACUUUAGCUGUCGAUAUGGUACUGGUAUUAUUAAUAUCCUGGCAGAAUGCAGUUCUUGCCUCAAAAGAGGUACCAAUAUGCUGUCAUUUACUUUCACCCACUAUGGUUUUUCAAUAUCUGUGAUUUUUAGACUAUGGCUUUUUAAUUACAUUAAACCUGAUUUUCUCAGAUUCUUUAUUCGUGAUUUGAUUACUACUCCACCAAUAUAAGCAAAGCUAGAAGAUCUUCCGGUAUUCCACAAAACAUCUAAUUCGGUAUAUGAGGAAGACCAAUAAAAACUAAAAUUUUGCUGCAAAAUAGAAUAAAGAGACAAGUCAGUAGAAACGUAAGCUCUGAAAAGCUUGUUUUAACAUUUUGCCCAGUCGCAUGGCUUUCCUGGUGCCAGCUGAGACGUUCUACUGAUGCCAAGUAACUGCUCGAACAAUGCAGUCUUAAUACUCUAUUACAGGCAACAGCAGCCAAACAAUCCAAAAGUCUUUAGUUUAGAAAUGGCAAAUAUACACAGCACAAGUGGAAAAAUAUACAGCUAAAUAGCCAAGAUUGCUUUGUUGUCAUGAACUUGGCUGGGGUUCUCCCUUCUGUUGACUCAUCUCUUUAUUCUAUGGCUCCAGCUUUGUAUUAUUUAUAAACUAAGAGCACAGCCUCAAAAAAUAGGGCUUAGAGGAGUGUUAACAUUUUAGUUGCCGUUUUUUUAAAGCAGAGGAGGAAACUUAAAGGUUACAGUUUGCAAGUAUCAAUUGUUGAUUCAGAAUACUGAGAAAGUUGUCAAACGCCUUUUCAAAAAUAAUUUCAAAAUCAAAGAGAUAUUAAUAGAGCAGUCUUCUUUUAGAACUACUGUCUCAGUGAAGUUUCAGGAUCAUCUCUUAGAAGAAGUUGAUGCGAUAAAUGAUUUUAUAAAAUUAAAACAAAUAUCAAUUGUCUUUUUAAGAAUAUUAGAAAGCAGUUACGAAAUAUUUUCAAAACAAAAUAUUUUAUUACCUUUUCUCCACAUAAUUUUAAGGUAUAAAAAUACAAUUAGGAAAAUUCAACAAUGAGAAUUCAUUGUUUAUUUUUUUCUUCUUAUGCGCCUUCAGCAUUGACUGUUGAUCUUAUUUAUGUAUGAAAGUGAAAAAUCAAUAGGUAAGUAAUUGAUAAUAUGUCUGAAUUUAAUGAUGGUUCAGAGGACAUUGAAUCAUCCUGAGAGGAUGUUCACUGUUCAAGUACAUGAGCUAAAACUGUUUGUCUUUAGGACUGCAGUAACACAUUUUUCUGGAGAAGAAAAAGGCAAUCAAAAGGAGGGAAAAUAUAUAUAAAUAGGGAAACUUGUCCUUAAUAAGCUAUCUAAAUAAUUUUAAAAAAUUCUUGAUGAAACAGUUCAGAAACCUGCUCUCUAAACAAGGUUGAUGAAUUUUAUUUAGAGGUGCACAAGAAGAUUUACUGUAUUUUCUAUGGUUCUCAAAUGUUCAGCAAAAAAGAGAGAUACAUUUAUUAAAAAUAAGGUAUUUCCUUUGGUAAAUACAUUAUCGAAAAAGUUAUAAUUGAAGCAGUAUGAUUAUGAAUAAUCAUUUCCUUUAACAUUUUAUAGCAAUAUCUUCUUAAAUUCUGGAUUCCCUCACUGUGGUUUCAACUUAUUGUUAACACCACUUCAUUCAAGCUUCAAUUAUUAUUUACUCUACUCAAUUCUUUGUUUAAACAAACAACAUAACAUUAUACAAUUUCACUGUUUCGACUCAUAAGGAUCUGACAUGAUGUAAGUGUGGCAGUGGAACUAUCCCAAUGAACACUUUUUUUCUACAAACCUAGGCAACAACAAAGUAUAAUCUGUGUUCCAAUUUUUUAAAACAAAGAAAGGCUCAGAGAUGGACACCUCCGAUUUUGAUACUGUUUGCGGUUAUGAAUAGUUAACAGCUGAUAGAAAAGCCGCCAAAUGGGCCCCUAAAACUCCUUAAAAAUUGUCUUACUAAUGCCCCUCAAUGGUUACCUGCAGAAUGAGGAAAGAGGUCAGCCAUCUGCAUAUUGUUCAGUGGUGAUGCAAUGGAUUGGUACUCCUUUCAGGCCAGAGAAGUUGCAGAUUUGUAUUCCUGGUUAGAUACUUGUUGUAACGGCUGCUUCCAAUUUUAGAAUGGAAAUCUAUCCGCAAAAACUGAAAAAUGUCCAUUGAUCAGCUGUCCUUGAACUAACAAUUAUUGCCGCAAAGCACAUCAAAAUUGGAGGUGGUCAUUUCUGAGGAAACAUCCAUUUUUAUCUUCCUACAUAGAACUAUCUAUAGAUUACAAAAGACUUCUGAAAUAACUUGAAGAUCCGAGAUCCGCUGUUAACGCUUUGAAUCAAAUGUUCAGGGGUGCAGAAUCUUCUUGACCCAACAACAGGGGUCAUGUGGACCAACCGUACGGCCAGUUUGCAUCAGCAUUAAAAUCGCAGCCAUAAGCAAAGAGUAAAAAGGAGAGGAAAAAGAAAAAAAGUGUCAUUUUAAAAAUUUUGGAAAAAUAUGCCUUCCUAUGUGCUGGUGAAUGAAUAUCUUGUAAAGAACUUCUUUCAAGAUGUAGAAUGGCUCCUGAUCUUACAUGCUACAGGAUGAAUCAACUGACACAAAGAGUCUUGAGGUAAAAAAGGCAGCGCCACCUGCCUUUGCUUAAAAGAAAUCUAUGCCUUACUUCAUUGCAAAAUACAAUUUGGCACAUAGAUAGACUCCUAUCUCAAAUUAGUUUGUAAUUAGAGCCAGAAUUGAUGUUAGAAUUUAUGAGAUGCUAUAAUUAGGUUUAGACUCUUUACUAAAUAGAAGUAAUACAUCCAUAGGUACUUUGCUCAAGUAUUGUGGCUAUGGUCUACCAUAUUUUAGGAGAAAACUAACAUAAUAUGAUGUGACUGAUAUAAUCUAUUGCAUUAUACAUAUUAUUAUGGUAAGAGAGGAAAUUGUAGUUCCAUGGUUGCGUUCAACUAUUGGCCUCUAAAAUUUGUUAUUUCAAAGAUUCUUGUAAGGACUCAAUCUGCCUGGUCCUCUUCUUGCUAUUUCAUAAAUUUGAUUA
rnacentral:lncRNA from 1 species